GGUUUUAUUACCCAAGUUUGAGGUAACAUUGAAACUGACCCAAAGAAAUUUGGCGUUGGCUAUAAAUUUUGGAAACGUCUCCUUCAAGGGAGACAAA
rnacentral:snRNA from 16 species